ACUUGGAUCUGCAAUUAGUAUU
rnacentral:miRNA from 1 species